GGUAAUUUCCUUUUUGACAAGGGAAAGCAAGUUAAUGGGUGUCGCAACCAACAUGAUAUGAUCAUAGAUUGGUAGCCCUUUUCAUUUUGCACUGGUUAUCAUCAGGGUUUUGGAUUGAGGUGAACAAUGGCAUCUCCAUGUUUAACUGGGGUUGCUAAAAGACUAACAUAUUUAUAAGAAUGAUAUAUAUUGUCGAAAGAGCUAGAUCUUCCCCCCAUCAGAAACUUCCCAUUUAUUUUUAAAAACGUCGGAAGAAAGAAGAGAA
rnacentral:misc_RNA from 1 species